rnacentral:lncRNA from 1 species
AUGCAGCCAAAGCAAGCCUUGUCCUGGUACCGGCGGCUGUCUGUGAUCUACGGGAUGGGCGCCUGGACUCUGUUUGGUUCUGCAUUUUACUUUUUCGGGAAGAAGAAGCCUUCAGAAGGUCAUGAAGUAGAACAAAAGGAUCUCCCAAGAAGUGAAAUUGUACCCGAACCCCUGAAAGGGUUUUAUGUGGAAACGAUUGUUGCAUAUGAUGAAGAUUAUACUUCACUUUCUGACAGGAUCCGUGACUUUGUGAAAAAAUGGACUGGUGAUUCUGGUUCAGAACCGUGAUUGGCUGCUGAAUUCUGAAAACAAGGACUUUGGCUCAGCAUUGAUACAUGAUAGGUGCCUUGAUUUCUAUUUUAUGUUUGUGGAAAGUAUAUAUUUAAUUAUGCAGUUAAAAAUGCAAUAAAUAUUUCCUUGAAAGAAACUAAACUUACAUAAUUCAAGAGAUAUUCCUCUCUAUAUGGGGAAAAGUUAAUGAAAUUUCAUAGAGGUUCCAUAAGCUGAGUUUUUUGAAAGUAGUGCAUGUGACUUUUUUGCAUGCUGCUGUUAAAGUCUUAGUGGUCCCUUUAAAGUUAGUCAGCAGCUGGGUGUAGUGGUACAUGCCGAUAAUUCCAGCACUCCAGAGACUGAGGCAGGUGCAUCACUGUAACUACAGAGACCCUAUCUCAAAAAACAAGAAACACUGCAAGUAACCAAGCCCCAGAUACCAGCAGCAGAGACCUCAGCUUCUCACAGGACAUGAGAGGUCAGAACAGGUCAGUUGGAUUAGUUUGGUUGGCAUCACACUGAUGAGCAAGAAACAUCACAGCAGUGGCCAGGGAAGGUUAGAGGGAAGGUCCCCUCAGUGGGAACAAUAGCAUGGCCUCGG